UACAGAGGGUACUAGCGUUGUUCGGAAUUAUUGGGCGUAAAGAGCGCGUAGAUGGUUUUGUAAGUCAAUUGUGAAAUAUUCCAGCUUAACUGGAAUGCUGCAAUAGAUACUGCAUUACUAGAGAAUGGAAGAGGUAAGUGGAAUUUCUAGUGGAGAGGUUAAAUUCGCUGAUAUUAGAAGGAACACCAAAUGCGAAGGCAGCUUACUUGGACAUUUCUGACAUUGAGGCGCGAAAGCGUGGGGAGCGAGCAGG
rnacentral:rRNA from 1 species